UAAGCAGAAUGACCGCCAGCUCAUGAGUCAAUAAUGUGACAUGUCCAUACGGUGGAUUAAAAGGCAUAAAACGGAAUGUGUGGACACAUGCUUCUACAUGGAUGACACUGGAAAGCAUCAUGCUGAGUCAAGGAAGCCAGACAAACCAGACCACAUCGACAUAUUUUUAUGGGAUAACCAAACGGAGGUUUAAAGACAUGGAAGGCAACUUGAGUAACAUGUCUCGAAUGCCAGAAGCGACAGAGACAGCUGAAAUUCCUGAACACACACGAGCGACUUCUCAAGGGGUCUGAGCAGUGCUGGGCAAAGAUGGAAUGGCUCUAGCCCAUGUCUUCACUUUUGAAAUAAAGCUUCACACCAAACAAUA